UAGGGAAUCUUCCACAAUGGACGAAAGUCUGAUGGAGCAACGCCGCGUGAGUGAAGAAGGAUUUCGGUUCGUAAAACUCUGUUGCAAGGGAAGAACAAGUAGCGUAGUAACUGGCGCUACCUUGACGGUACCUUGUUAGAAAGCCACGGCUAACUACGUGCCAGCAGCCGCGGUAAUACGUAGGUGGCAAGCGUUGUCCGGAAUUAUUGGGCGUAAAGCGCGCGCAGGUGGUUUCUUAAGUCUGAUGUGAAAGCCCACGGCUCAACCGUGGAGGGUCAUUGGAAACUGGGAAACUUGAGUGCAGAAGAGGAUAGUGGAAUUCCAAGUGUAGCGGUGAAAUGCGUAGAGAUUUGGAGGAACACCAGUGGCGAAGGCGACUAUCUGGUCUGUAACUGACACUGAGGCGCGAAAGCGUGGGGAGCAAACAGGAUUAGAUACCCUGGUAGUCCACGCCGUAAACGAUGAGUGCUAAGUGUUGGGGGGUUUCCGCCCUCAGUGCUGCAG
rnacentral:rRNA from 1 species